UACGUAGGGGGCAAGCGUUGUCCGGAAUUAUUGGGCGUAAAGCGCGCGCAGGUGGUUUCUUAAGUCUGAUGUGAAAGCCCACGGCUCAACCGUGGAGGGUCAUUGGAAACUGGGGAACUUGAGUGCAGGAGAGAAGAGUGGAAUUCCACGUGUAGCGGUGAAAUGCGUAGGGAUGUGGAGGAACACCAGUGGCGAAGGCGACUCUUUGGCCUGUAACUGACACUGAGGCGCGAAAGCGUGGGGAGCAAACAGG
rnacentral:rRNA from 1 species